rnacentral:rRNA from 1 species
UACGUAGGGGGCAAGCGUUGUCCGGAAUUACUGGGCGUAAAGGGCUUGUAGGCGGUUUUUUAAGUCAGAUGUGAAAGUUCGGGGCUCAACCCCGGAAUUGCAUUUGAAACUGGAGAACUUGAGUACUGGAGAGGUAAGUGGAAUUCCUAGUGUAGCGGUGAAAUGCGUAGAUAUUAGGAGGAACACCAGUGGCGAAGGCGACUUACUGGACAGAUACUGACGCUGAGGAGCGAAAGCGUGGGGAGCGAACAGGAUUAGAUACCCUGGUAGUCCACGCCGUAAACGAUGAGUGCUAGGUGUUGGGGUAACUCAGUGCCGUAGUUAACACAAUAAGCACUCCGCCUGGGGAGUACGGUCGCAAGACUGAA